CAGUGACCACUGAUUUUAUGGAACCAGGCUGGGGGGUAUCAACAGUGACCACUUAUUUUAUGGAACCAGGUUGGGGGUAUCACCGGUGACCACUUAUUUUAUGGAACCAGGUUGGGGGUAUCACCAGUGACUACUGAUUUUAUGGAACCUGGUGGGGUCUCACCAGUGACCACUGAUUUUAUGGAACCAGGCUGGGGGUAUCAACAGUGAGCACUAGUCAUAUACAUUUACAACUAAACACAAAGUAGUUCAUAUGAGUGGACAGAAUGUUGUAUAAAACCUCUCAAUAUCUGGUCUUAUUUUUUCAAACUUUCAUUUAUUCACUUUAGUGAUUAUAAUCUUUUAUUUAUUUGUUGUUGUUUUUUUCUCAGAAGAUUUAAACAUAACAUGUACUGUUGUUUGUAUAUUAUUUUGUUUAUUGAUCUUAUUUUCUAGUUCAUUUUAAAACUAUUGUUUUUUUUUGUUAGAUAUUUAACAAAUACCAUUUUGUUUUUUAAAGGAAAGCUUCGGUUAAAUGUGCAUUUAUAUUUUGGAAUUGAUCCAGUGCUGAAGUUUUAUUGCUGGUAGAUGAAUGAACAAGAAACUUGUAAAAUGUAAUUUUUCUCAUAUAUUGCACUGAUGGAAUUACUACAAAACUUCAGUUAAAUAGACAAAUCUAACAUGAAAAUGUUACAGCGGUCAAAAGAUUCUGGUUUCUACUAAUGAUAUGAAAGAAUUAGAUUGUAUAGCUCAACUAGAAACAUUACCUUCAUUUUGAUACAAGACUAUUUUAACCUUGUAUGUAAGAGUUGGCUUGAAUAUUUCUUUUGGUGAUUUGAGUUGUAGAUCUUUGUGAUUUGACCUUAAGUAGGAUGAGAAAAUUAGCUAAACUCUUCUCUCAAAGAUGGCUUCUUCUUAUAUAUAUUGGGUCCCCCUAGUGGCUCAGCAGUAAUUCUCAGGCUUACUAUGCUAAAAAUCAGGUUUGAAUACCUGUGGUGGACAGAGCACAGAUAUCCCAUUUAGUAGCUUCGUCUUUAACAACAUUUAAAACCAAAUAUAAUAUAGCAUUCCUCAUAACACAAUAAGUUUAUUCUUAAGCUGUAGUUAAAGUGCUAAACACAGUUUUUCGAUUGUCUAAUGCUGAACAUAGAUUUAUAAAUUUAACCCCUGGUGGUGUCCACGUUACAAGAAACUGAAACGUAUCAAGAUUCCCUCAUUUUACCUGUUCUGUACCUUCAGUCCUAAAGUUAACCUGAUAAAAAACUUAUUACUUCUCAAAUUAGAGAAAUAGUUUCUGGUGACAACUACUGUGGAGUUAUAAUAUCAAAUAUAUAAAUAUCUCUUGCCCAGUUUCGUCAGUAAUCAUCUUAAUAUUCUUGUAUUCGUUCGUGCCUACACUUUAGUUUAGUAACAUAUUAAGAAGAAUCAAUAUCUAUAUUAUUAAAGCUGGAUAUUGGCAGGUAUUUUGAGGUGCACAGGAGUUUACCUUAAAAGUAUCACAAAAGAAUGUUGCCCAUUGUUAGCUCUGUUCUUAAAGAGAGAAUACAAUAGCAACACUUAAGAAACUAGGCAUCAUACUGCCUUAUACCUGGUGUGGUAAUGUAGACUGCUUUAUAGAGUAUAUACAACCAUCAGUUACUAGGUGACUGCCUUGUACAUGGUGUGGUAAUGUAAACUGCUUUAUAGAGUAUAUACAACCAUCAGUUACUAGGUGACUGCCUUGUACAUGGUGUGGUAAUGUAAACCGCUCUACAGAGUAUAUACAACCAUCAGUUACUAGGUCACUGCCUUGUACAUGGUGUGGUAAUGUAGAAUACUCUAUAGAGUAUAUACAACCAUCCGUUACUAGGUCACUGCCUUGUACAUGGUGUGGUAAUGUAGACUGCUUUAUAGAGUAUAUACAACCAUCAGUUACUAGGUGACUGCCUUGUACAUGAUGUGGUAAUGUAGACUGCUUUAUAGAGUAUAUACAACCAUCAGUUACUAGGUCACUGCCUUGUACAUGGUGUGGUAAUGUAGACUGCUCUAUAGAGUAUAUACAACCAUCAGUUACUAGGUGACUGCCUUAUACCUGGUGUGGUAAUGUAGACUGCUCUACAGAGUAUAUACAACCAUCAGUUACUAGGUGACUGCCUUGUACAUGGUGUGGUAAUGUAAACUGCUUUAUAGAGUAUAUACAACCAUCAGUUACUAGGUGACUGCCUUGUACAUGGUGUGGUAAUGUAGACUGCUUUAUAGAGUAUAUACAACCAUCAGUUACUAGGUCACUGCCUUAUACCUGGUGUGGUAAUGUAGACUGCUUUAUAGAGUAUAUACAACCAUCAGUUACUAGGUGACUGCCUUGUACAUGGUAUGGUAAUGUAAACUGCUUUACAGAGUAUAUACAACCAUCAGUUACUAGGUGACUGCCUUGUACAUGGUGUGUUAAUGUAAACUGCUCUAUAGAGUAUAUACAACCAUCAGUUACUAGGUGACUGCCUUAUACAUGGUGUGGUAAUGUAGACUGCUCUACAGAGUAUAUACAACCAUCAGUUACUAGUUGACUUCUUUGUAGAUGGUGUGUUAAUGUAAACUGCUUUACAGAGUAUAUACAACCAUCAGUUACUAGGUGACUGCCUUAUACCUGGUGUGUUAAUGUAAACUGCUCUAUAGAGUAUAUACAACCAUCAGUUACUAGGUGACUGCCUUGUACAUGGCGUGUUAAUGUAAACUGCUCUACAGAGUAUAUACAACCAUCAAUUACUAGGUCACUGCCUUAUACCUGGUGUGUUAAUGUAAACUGCUCUACAGAGUAUAUGCAACCAUCAGUUACUAGGUCACUGCCUUGUACAUGGUGUGUUAAUGUAAACUUCUUUACAGAGUAUAUACAACCAUCAGUUACUAGGUCACUGCCUUAUACCUGGUGUGUUAAUGUAAACUGCUCUAUAGAGUAUAUACAACCAUCAGUUACUAGGUCACUGCCUUGUACAUGGUGUGUUAAUGUAAACUGCUCUACAGAGUAUAUACAACCAUCAGUUACUAGGUGACUGCCUUGUACAUGGUGUGGUAAUGCAGACUGCUCUAUAGAGUAUAUACAACCAUCAGUUACUAGGUCACUGCCUUAUACCUGGUGUGUUAAUGUAAACUGCUCUACAGAGUAUAUAUAACCAUCAGUUACUAGGUGACUGCCUUAUACCUGGUGUGUUAAUGUAAACUGCUCUACAGAGUAUAUAUAACCAUCAGUUACUAGGUGACUGCCUUGUACAUGGUGUGUUAAUGUAAACUGCUCUAUAGAGUAUAUACAACCAUCAGUUACUAGGUGACUGCCUUAUACCUGGUGUGUUAAUGUAAACUGCUCUACAGAGUAUAUAUAACCAUCAGUUACUAGGUGACUGCCUUGUACAUGGUGUGUUAAUGUAAACUGCUCUACAGAGUAUACAGAACCAUCACUUUCUUCCUGGUUUGGUAAUGAUUAUUUUGAGGAGCCUUCAGGAAAAUGUUUCGUUUUAUACAAUUUAAAGAAAAGUUGUGAUUUCAAAUGGUUUGGUUCAGAAUUAGUAGUAGAAUGUAAAUUUGAAACAUAAUUUUGAUUAACGUAAAAAUUUGAUCUAAUAGCCUAUUUUAACUAUUUGUAUUCAAACAAGUUUCUUUUUUUUAUAUUUGAAUAUACAGUACACUAAUACCUUCUAUUCAGCUCCACUGAUUAUCUAAUAGUCCUGUUGUAGUGUAUUAGUAUUGGUGUCAACAGACAAUAAGAUGAAUCCAGAAUGAUGUAUUAAUUUUCUUCUGGCUGUGUUGUUUACAAUCCUAUAAACUUGGCAUUAUAGUAAUAGCUAAAGUUGAUACCAGGUGGCAAUGCAUACAUUAUAGACACUGCACCAUGAUAAUGAGGAAAAUUAUUUCGUGGGGGGGGGGGGUCGUUUCUAAAGAAAACAGUGUUUUAAUAUUGAAAUACUAUUAACAAAUAUUUAAGUUAAUUCCUAGAUGUAUGUGUUCUGUGAUAUUAAAGAGUUUUAAAAAAUA